rnacentral:lncRNA from 1 species
CUCCUCGGUCCCGCCCUCUCGCUACCCUUUAUACCUUCCUCUCACGCUCCGCGUUGCACAGCCUUGGGGGCCUUUAAAAGGAACCGGAAGUGUCGUGAGCUAAGACAGUCGCGCGGGGACCAUCGAGAACAAGGAGUGCUGUUUCGAAGUAGCGGCUAGAGGGGCCCCCUGCCUCCGCCCCCGCCCUUCCGAGGAUUCCUGGAGUCCACUCACCCCUCCCCACCACUCCAGUAGCGGCGGGAGCAGCAGCGUUAGGCCGGGGUGUGGCUGCACCUCUGCGAAGGCUGUCGUGCCCCGUGCAGCUGCGGCGUUCGGGUGGGGGAGGGGAGGCUCACACCCUGCGGCGGCUUAAGCCUGGAUUUACGCACUGGAGGAGGGAAUUAGCCCUGAGAUGUCAGCCCUGUGCCCCUGGCGCUGUCCACCCGGACGCCCGCGGAGCGCCAGGCGCCGCAGCGGACCGCGCGCGCACUGAUUGCCGCAGCUACUCUCCCUGCCGUCGCCGCCCGGGACCGGGUGACAUUGAGGUUUUCGUCUAUCGCCGCUGGGCCGAUAGGGCUUCUUUUUAAGAUUUGGCUUUCCAAGUAAGAUUUUUGUUUGCCUGCUUUUCUCCUGGAAUUUUUUUGUUUUUGGUCGAAGAAGCAGCUCCCACUUUGCAGUUGUGUCAGCCAAUCACGACAGCUUCCCAGACUUCCGUGCAAGUGCCUGCUUUGAGGCCAAGGUGGCCAUAAAUGGCAGCUCCUCAGGCUCCUCCACAAUCUCUGGUUUCUUAUGUUUCUCCAUGAGCUCAGCUUUUUCAUCAACUCCAAUGCUUCAAGCCGAAGUCAUUAGUGAAUGUUCUACAAUCCUUCAGCUGCAGCUCCAGACCUUCACUCCUCCAGCUUCUCCUACAUCCAUCUAACCCUCAAUUCCUACAUUAAAUCUCUUUAUUCCAGAAUA